AAGUCACACCAACAGUUCAGAAUGUGAAAUGCUUUAAAACUUGAUUAAAUCGAGAUAUAGUUUUUGAUAGUAUCUACUAUUUAGAUAACAACAAUGAUUCUAGCGUUAAUCGCAACACAACCUGACUUUUGAAAGGGUUUGAUUAAAUAGCAACGCAGGGCUCUGUUGCCAUGUUGAUUCAUGAUAACUCAACAAAUUGCAUUCAUUAUGUUGGUGAUGCAUCAUUCAAAUAUCUGUCCCAUUAGUUUCAAUGGUAGGUAGGAUAGUGGUCUAUUGCUGCGGUCACGAGUAACAGGAAUUAUAGAUUGAUUUCGAAGUAGGAGCUUAAGAAUCAGCUACCAUGUCCAUGGAAGAC
rnacentral:rRNA from 1 species